rnacentral:rRNA from 1 species
UGUCGUAAUGCCUAACCAUCAUUGCAUAGCAAGGGCCGGGCAAGACCGGUGCCAGCCGCCGCGGUAACACCGGCGGCUCGAGUGGUAACCGCUAUUAUUGGGUCUAAAGGGUCUGUAGCCGGCUGACUAACUCUCUUGGGAAAUCUGGCAGCUCAACUGUCAGGCUUUCAGGAGAUACUGAUCGGCUCGAGACCGGGAGAGGUGAGAGGUACCUCAGGGGUAGGGGUGAAAUCUUGUAAUCCUUGAGGGACCACCAGUGGCGAAGGCGUCUCACCAGAACGGAUCUGACGGCAAGGGACGAAAGCUAGGGGCACGAACCGGAUUAGAUACCCGGAUAGUCCUAGCCGUAAACGAUACUCGCUAGGUGUCGGCCACGGUGCGACCGUGGUCGGUGC